rnacentral:rRNA from 1 species
GACGAACGCUGGCGGCGUGCCUAAUACAUGCAAGUCGAGCGAACGGACGAGAAGCUUGCUUCUCUGAUGUUAGCGGCGGACGUAUCAGUAACAUGUGGAUAACCUACCUACAAGACUGGGAUAACUUCCGGAGACCAAUGCUAGUAACGGAUAAUAUCUUGAACCGCAUGGUUCAAAAGUUAAAGACGGUCUUGCUGUCCCUGAUAGCUAGAUCCGCGCUGCAUUAGCUAGUUGGUAAGGUAACGGCUUACCAAGGCCACGAUGCAUAGCCGACCUGAGAGGGUGAACGGCCACACUGGAACUGAGACACGGUACAGACUCCUACGGGAGGCAGCAGUAGGGAAUCGUGCGCAAUGGGCGAAAGCCUGACGGAGCAACGCCGCGUGAGUGAUGAAGGGCUUCGGAUCGUAAAACUCUGUUAUUAUGGAAGAACAUAUGUGUAAGUAACUGUGCACAUCUUGACGGUACCUAAUCAGAAAGCCACGGCUAACUACGUG